UGAAUACGAGAUGCUACGGCGUCGAAGCAGUGUAUGUCAGACUUCCAAGAAAAGCUCGCAAUGUCAUAAAUAAAGAAUGCCUGUACCAUAACCGACACAGGUGGGUAGGUAGAGUAUACUAAGGGGCGCGAGAUAACUCUCUCUAAGGAACUCGGCAAAAUAACUCCGUAACUUCGGGAGAAGGAGUGCCUUCUUUAAGAAGGUUGCAAUAACAAGAUCCAAGCAACUGUUUAUCAAAAACACAGGUCUCCGCUAAGUCGUAAGACGAUGUAUGGGGGCUGACGCCUGCCCAGUGCCAGAAGGUUAAAGAAGUUGGUUAGCUUUUGCGAAGCUGAUGACUGAAGCCCUGGUGAACGGCGGCCGUAACAAUAACGGACCUAAGGUAGCGAAAUUCCUUGUCGGGUAAGUUCCGACCCGCACGAAAGGCGUAAUGAUUUGGAUACUGUCUCGGAGAGGGACUCGGUGAAAUAGACUUGUCUGUGAAGAUGCGGACUACCUGCACCAGGACAGAAAGACCCUAUGAAGCUUUACUGUAACUUGAAAUUGAAAUUGGACUUUAUUUGCGCAGUAUAGGUGGAAGGCGUUGAAAGUAAUCUUGCGGGAUUAGUGGAGCCAUCAGUGAGAUACCACUCCUAUAAUGUUAGAUUUCUAACUUUGGAUCAUGAUCUGGUCAAAGAACAGUUUCAGGCGGGCAGUUUGACUGGGGCGGUCGCCUCCCAAAUGGUAACGGAGGCGUACAAAGGUUUCCUCUGAACGGGUAGAAAUCGUAUCUAGAGUGUAAAGGCAUAAGGAAGCUUGACUGUGAGACCUACAAGUCGAGCAGGGACGAAAGUCGGUCUUAGUGAUCUGACGGCGCUGAGUGGAAAGGCCGUCACUCAACGGAUAAAAGUUACUCUAGGAUAACAGGCUGAUCUCCCCCAAGAGUUCACAUCGACGGGGAGGUUUGGCACCUCGAUGUCGGCUCAUCGCAUCCUGGGGCGGUAGUACGUCCCAAGGGUUGGGCUGUUCGCCCAUGAAAGCGGUACGCGAGCUGGGUUCAGAACGUCGUGAGACAGUUCGGUCCAUAUCCGGUGUAGGCGUUAGAAUAUUGAGAGGAGCCUUCUUUAGUACGAGAGGACCGAGAAGGACAUACCUCUAGUGUACCAGUUAUCGUGCCAACGGUAAACGCUGGGUAGCUAUGUAUGGAGAGGAUAACCGCUGAAAGCAUCUAAGUGGGAAGCCCACCUCAAGAUGAG
rnacentral:rRNA from 1 species